GGGUAUUACGGUACAGAGUCAAUGUGGAGGCUAUAUACAGGGUGUUACGGUACAGAGUCAAUGUGGAGGCUAUAUACAGGGUGUUACGGUACAGAGUCAAUGUGGAGGCUAUAUACAGGGUGUUACGGUACAGAGUCAAUGUGGAGGCUAUAUACAGGGUGUUACGGUACAGAGUCAAUGUGGAGGCUAUAUACAGGGUGUUACGGUACAGAGUCAAUGUGGAGGCUAUAUACAGGGUGUUACGGUACAGAGUCAAUGUGGAGGCUAUAUACAGGGUGUUACGGUACAGAGUCAGUGUGGAGGCUAUAUACAGGGUGUUACGGUACAGAGUCAAUGUGGAGGCUAUAUACAGGGUGUUACGGUACAGAGUCAAUGUGGAGGCUAUAUACAGGGUGUU
rnacentral:lncRNA from 1 species